rnacentral:tRNA from 1 species
GCGGGGGUUACCGAGCCAGGCCAAAGGUGAUGGACUCAAGAUCCAUUCCCAUAGGGGUUCGCCGGUUCGAAUCCGGCCCCCCGCA